rnacentral:antisense_RNA from 1 species
ACUGUUGCGACUGCCAUCCGCAUCCGGCAGAUGUAGAUGGAACCAAAGUCCAGAAGUUACGCGUCACCCUUGCUCUACAGCCAAACAUGCAGGACUCUAGUAACCCGCGAAAUGAUGGGAUAGCGUUGCAAAUCCUUAAAAGAGUCUUACGAAAUCCUGGCUGACAUUGACUUCUCCACUGCAACCAUCGAGUUCAUUGUCUCCUAAACCUUGCCAUGGAGGCCUGUGGCACCUGAGCCAGCCAUUAUCAUCACCAGCACUUCCAUGAGCUACAAGCUGGACCCACUGCAGUCCUCCUGACACACUGAAAUCAGAGCCUGCACACAGAGCAGCAGAUGCUUCAAUGUAAAGGUCAUUUCCAGGUCCUUGACAGGCGUGCAUCUGGGCCAGAUCCAUGGCAAUAACCUUCAGGUUGAGGCUAGAGGGCUUCAGAUGGGCAGCUUCGAAUGACAGGAGCAAGGACCAAGAGGCCGGAAAGGGAGGGUGACAUUUUCAGCAUCUAUAAGAUCAACUUUAGAAAUAUUUGGGGGUUGACAAAUUCCCAUCAAGCUCUGUGGAUCUUGUACAACUGCUCACCGCCGGCUUCUCAUCAGCACAUGAUUGGUGCAGGGUUCUGAGGAUGAUUUUGAGAUGUUCCCUGAUGUGGUCUUGUGAGGAGAGUUCAUGACAGAUGGCAGGAAGCUUCGUGGAGAGAUUUCUGAAGACACUCCUGAGCUCCCAACAGCGGGCAACUCUCUUGCAGAGGAUAGUGGGGUGGAGGGUAGAAGAGAGGCAAAGUCAGGUUUGCCCUUCAGAUCCCCUUCAUUCUCCUUUUGCCACUGUUAACCAACUUUUGCUUACAAUUAGACACCAGUUUUCGGCAGAUGAAAUCUCUCUGAUUUCAGGCAUUUUGUCAAUUAAGCUGCUCAGCAACAAUAGGAUAAAAUUAUGAAAAGAAAGGAGUAGCAGUCCCACAGACAAAGCAUCCAGCCCCUGCACUGAGACAGUAUAGGGAAGGGACUUGGUCCUGGCAGACAAGACAGAUAAUCAACAUCCUAGUGGGCCUCACAUAUGUGGGCAUAUUCUUUUCCAUACCUUCUUGUCUCUUUUAACAAGCUAACCCCAGUCACAGUAGCAGAGAGAGGGUCCAUCCUAACUUAGCUGACCAGGCUGGAUUCCUAAUCAUAAAACCAAAAAAGGAAGAACCUAACCAUUUAUCUCUUUCAGCUAUGUGUUCCAAGAUUACUGAAGCAGGAUUCUGGCCUUCCUGAUAAGAACAAGACCAGAUCCAGCUGGUUUGCAACAAGAUGAACUUCAGUGCUGAGCUUUCACCAAGUUUUUCUCAUUACAAUCUCAUUGUAAUACUAAAAUCUCCACCCAAGAUGGAGGUUAUCUGACAUUUUCUGUACAUGUGUUACCAGAAAGGGGUCCUGAUCCAGACCCCAAAAGAGGGUUCUUGGAUCUCACGCAACAAAGAGUUCGGGGCGAGUCCAUAGAGUAAAGUGAAAGCAAGUUCAUCAAGAAAGCAAAGGAAUAAAGAAUGCCUACUCCAUAGGCAGAGCAGUGGCUUUGGCUGCUCAGCUGCUUGUACUUGUUACUUCUUGAGUAUAUGCUAAACAAGGGAUUGAUUACUCCUUGUUUAGCAGUUUUCUGGGAAAGGAGUGGGCAAUUCCCAGAACUGAGGGUUCCUCCCCUUUUUAGACCAUAUAGGGUGACUUCCUGAUGUUGCCAUGGCAUUUGUAAACUGUCAUGGCGCUAGUGGGAGUGUCUUUUAGCAUGCUAAUGCAUGAGCAGUGAGGAUGACCCGAGGUCAUUUUUGUUACCAUCUUGGUUUUGGUGGGUUUUGGCUGGUUUUGGCCAGCUUCUUUACCACUUCUUUUUAUCAGCAAGGUCUUUGUGACCUGUACUUAGUGCCGACCUCCUAUCUCAUCCUGUGAGUAAGAAUGCCUAAUCUCUCAGGAAUGCAGCCCAGUAGGUCUCAACCUUAUUUUACCCAGCCCCCAUUCAAGAUGGAGUGACUCUGGUUCAUGCGUGGUCAAAUGCCUCUGACACAUGCGCCCCAUGUUUGGGCAUGAGACCUCACUGUGUAGGUGCAGAGAAGACCCUGCCUAAACAUUGCCUAACGUUGCUCCUUUUUCCUGCCUCAACUUCCUUAAAAUGACAAGAGCGGAGCCCUUUUGGGAGCUAACAUCAGGACUCCUUUUUUGUACUCUGCUCCGUUGUGCUGCUAGAGCCACAAGCCUAUUAAACUUUGCCUGAAAU